rnacentral:lncRNA from 1 species
UAUCUAGCCUUAUCGCUAGGGUGUAAUUUUAUAUGUUUAACUAAACUACCUGUGCUGCUACGAUCUCCUGUAUACCUAUGCACAAGUAAUUUCCCACAAGAUUUACACUUAGCCUUAUUUUGCUCUCUUAGUUGAAUAAAAAAAUUGCCAAACUAAUGAAGUUUCUGAACGUUUAGGAGGUUGUCUACUAAAAGUGGGAGUUUGUACGGGUGGGUGUUCCGGUUC